rnacentral:rRNA from 1 species
AACUAUAACGGUCCUAAGGUAGCGAAAUUCCUUGUCGGGUAAGUUCCGACCCGCAUGAAAGGCGUAAUGAUUUGGGCACUGUCUCAACGAGGGGCCCGGUGAAAUUGAAAUACCUGUGAAGAUGCAGGUUACCCGCGACUGGACAGAAAGACCCCAUGGAGCUUCACUGCAGCUUGAGAUUGAAUCCCGGUGACAGAUGCACAGGAUAGGUGGGAGGCGUCGAAGCAUUGCCCUAGGGCGGUGCGGAGCCGAUGUUGGGAUACCACCCUUCUGUUGCUGAGAUUCUAACGCGAGGAGUAACGACCCUGCGGACCCUCUCAGGCAGGCGGUUUGACUGGGGCGGUCGCCUCCGAAAGAGUAACGGAGGCGCCCAAAGGUUCCCUCAGGCCGGACAGAAACCGGCCGAAGAGUGCAAAGGCAGAAGGGAGCUUGACUGCGAGACCAACAAGUCGAGCAGAGACGAAAGUCGGGCUUAGUGAUCCGGUGGUACUGAGUGGAAAGGCCAUCGCUCAACGGAUAAAAGCUACCCUGGGGAUAACAGGCUAAUCUCUCCCAAGAGUUCAUAUCGACGGGGAGGUUUGGCACCUCGAUGUCGGCUCAUCACAUCCUGGGGCUGGAGUAGGUCCCAAGGGUUGGGCUGUUCGCCCAUUAAAGUGGUACGCGAGCUGGGUUCAAAACGUCGUGAGACAGUUUGGUUCAUAUCCAUCGCGGGCGCAAGAAGUUUGAGAGGAGCUGCUCCUAGUACGAGAGGACCGGAGUGGACGGAUCAACGGUGUCCCAGUUGUCACGCCAGUGGCACGGCUGGAAAGCCGCAUCCGGGAAGGAUAAACGCUGAAAGCAUCUAAGCGCGAAGCCAACCUCAAGAUGAGACUUCUCAUCAGCAAUGAGUAAGACCCCUUACAGACGAUGAGGUAGAUAGGUUAUGAGUGGAAGAGCCGCAAGGCUUGGAGCGACAUAAAACUAAUAGGUCGAGGUCUUAACUUA